rnacentral:rRNA from 1 species
GAUGAACGCUGGCGGCGUGCCUAAUACAUGCAAGUCGAGCGAACGGACGAGAAGCUUGCUUCUCUGAUGUUAGCGGCGGACGGGUGAGUAACACGUGGAUAACCUACCUAUAAGACUGGGAUAACUUCGGGAAACCGGAGCUAAUACCGGAUAAUAUUUUGAACCGCAUGGUUCAAAAGUGAAAGACGGUCUUGCUGUCACUUAUAGAUGGAUCCGCGCUGCAUUAGCUAGUUGGUAAGGUAACGGCUUACCAAGACAACGAUGCAUAGCCGACCUGAGAGGGUGAUCGGCCACACUGGAACUGAGACACGGUCCAGACUCCUACGGGAGGCAGCAGUAGGGAAUCUUCCGCAAUGGGCGAAGGCCUGACGGAGCAACGCCGCGUGAGUGAUGAAGGUCUUCGGAUCGUAAAACUCUGUUAUUAGGGAAGAACAUAUGUGUAAGUAACUGUGCACAUCUUGACGGUACCUAAUCAGAAAGCCACGGCUAACUACGUG